GCUUUGGGGUUGUCUCUGUCUGUCUGUCUGUCUCUCUCUCUCUCUCUCUUUCUGUGUGUGUGUGUGUGUGUGUGUGUGUGUGUGAGAGAGAGAGAGAGAGAGAGAGAGAGAGAGAGAGAGAGAAAUGAAAAAG